AACGAACGCUGGCGGCGUGCCUAACACAUGCAAGUCGAACGAGAAAGGGGCUUCGGCUCCGAGUAAAGUGGCGCACGGGUGAGUAACACGUGGGUAACCUGCCUCUAAGAUUGGGAUAACUCGUCGAAAGAUGAGCUAAUACCGAAUAAGACCACAGUUCCCGCGGGAACAGGGGUCAAAGGUAGCCUCUGCUUGCAAGCUAUCACUUAGAGAUGGGCCUGCGCACCAUUAGCUAGUUGGUAGGGUAACGGCCUACCAAGGCAAAGAUGGUUAGCUGGUCUGAGAGGAUGAUCAGCCACACUGGACCUGAGACACGGUCCAGACUCCUACGGGAGGCAGCAGUGGGGAAUAUUGCGCAAUGGGCGAAAGCUUGACGCAGCAACGCCGCGUGAGUGAUGAAGGCCUUCGGGUCGUAAAGCUCUGUCGGGAGGAACGAAUGCUCCUGAGGUUAACAGCCUCGGGAGGUGACGGUACCUUCAAAGGAAGCACCGGCUAACUCUGUG
rnacentral:rRNA from 1 species